rnacentral:lncRNA from 10 species
CUUAAACUCAUUCAAAGACACACUGAAUUACAUCACCACAAUCUAAUUUUAGAACAUUUUCAAUGCCCCCCAAAGAAACUCUCUGCAGGCCUGGGCAACAUAGUGAGACCCUGCCUCUAGAAAAAUUUUUUUGAUUAGCUGGGUGUGGUGGCACUCACCUGGGAGGCUGAGGUGGGAGGAUCCCAGGAGUUAGAGGCUGCAGUGAGCCAUGAUCAUGCCACUACACUUCAGCCUGGGCAACAGAGCAAGACCCUGUCUCUAUUGAAAAAAGUGGUGGGAAGUGGGGGAGAAACCCUGUGCUACAGCAGUCUUCCUGAUUCCUGCUUACCCAUCUCCUACUCCAUCCCCAGACAAUCUCUCUAUGGAUUGGCCUAUUCUGACAUUUCACAUCAGUCAUCUGUUGCUUAAUGACAGACACACAUUUGGAGAAAUGUGUCAUUAGGCAAUUUUCUUCAUGUGUACACAUCAAAGAGUGUCCUUACACAAACCUAAAUGGGACAACCUACUGCAGACCUAGGCUGUAUGACAGAACCUAUUGCUCCUCGGCUACAAACCUGUACAGCAUGCAACUCUACUCAACACUGUAAGAAACUGUAACACAGUGGAAUGGGCUUUCCUCGUUCCCUUGGAGGAGACUGCGUGGGUUUCUAGACUAUACUAAGGUGAUUCUGAUGAACAGCAGCCUUGGAAACGACUGCCUUAGGGGACUUGCUGCUAUAAAUAAAGAAGACAGAU